GGGGUGUCUAGUCUUGGCCAUAGUACUGUGAUGCUCCAGGUACUGUGGAGGGGGUGUCUAGUCUUGGCCAUAGUACUGUGAUGCUCCAGGUACUGUGGAGGGGGUGUCUAGUCUUGGCCAUAGUACUGUGAUGCUCCAGGUACUGUGGAGGGGGUGUCUAGUCGUGGCCAUAGCACUGUAAUGCUCCAGGUACUGUGGAGGGGGUGUCUAGUCUUGGCCAUAGCACUGUGAUGCUCCAGGUACUGUGGAGGGGGUGUCUAGUCUUGGCCAUAGUACUGUGAUGCUCCAGGUACUGUGGAGUGGGUGUCUAGUCUUGGCCAUAGCACUGUAAUGCUCCAGGUACUGUGGAGGGGGUGUCUAGUCUUGGCCAUAGUACUGUGAUGCUCCAGGUACUGUGGAGGGGGGUCUAGUCUUGGCCAUAGUACUGUGAUGCUCCAGGUACUGUGGAGGGGGUGUCUAGUCUUGGCCAUAGCACUGUAAU